rnacentral:rRNA from 1 species
AUUGAACGCUGGCGGCAGGCCUAACACAUGCAAGUCGAACGAGUGGCGGACGGGUGAGUAAUGUCUGGGAAACUGCCUGAUGGAGGGGGAUAACUACUGGAAACGGUAGCUAAUACCGCAUACCAUCCGAUGUCCCCAGAUUGGAUUCGCUUGUUGGUGGGGUAAAGGCCUACCAAGGCGACGAUCCGUAACUGGUCUGAGAGGAUGAUCAGUCACACUGGAACUGAGACACGGUCCAAAAUCAUAGGGGAGGCAGAAGUGGGGAAUAUUGGACAAUGGGAGAAAGCCUAAUCCAGACAUGCCGCGUAUGUGAAGAAGGUCUUCGGAUUGUAAAGCACUUUAAGUUGGGAGGCGUUAAAAACAGAAUAAGCACCGGCUAACUUCGUGCCAGCAGCCGCGGUAAUAC